AAAAGAUGAUGGUGUAAAGGAUCCCAAAGAUUAACAAAAUGAAGCACUUUCAAAUUUCAAUUGCAAAAAUACCAAUACAUACUACAUUGACACGAGAAGACAUACAUACCUUCUAUUUAAUACAGCCAACUUUCUUAUGCUGGGGCGUCCGAUUCUGGACCUCCCUGCUGUAGUACUACAUUGGAUCCCCAUAUACGUUGAGUGGAACAGAAAGCUAUUCGUCUUAACAAAAAACGAAGACUAACAACCAAAACAUAAACCCAAACCCGAACACCUUGACUCUGCUAGACCCAGACAGUUCAACCCUCACAUCAUCCACAACAGGUCCACAAAGAGAGCUCAUAUCAUCACUUCUUGUAUUGUAAUAGAUACUAUAGAACGCUAUACGUGUCCUGUCCGCCUUGGCCGUGAAAUUCAGGUUAGCAUUCUGAAAUGAAGAAUUGAAAUUGGGAGUGUAAUGUAUGUUUUGGGCUUGAUCACCAGCAAAGGCCAUGAUUGCAAGUGGUUCCUUGCAUGAAUCCCCUGCAUGGCCAAACAAAAAUGUCAAUCGGUAUGGCUUGUUAGGCUUGGUUUCAACCAUCUGCGAUAUAAUGCCUUCUUUUCCUGAAAGCAAUUCUAUUGCUCUCUUCCCUUCUGGAACUGUGAAGUGAUAUGUAUCGAUGUAUCGAACUGCUCGAUUUGACUCAACUAUCCAACCAGGGAGCGAUGACGUUUCCUCGUCUAGGUUAGUCGGGAGAAGAACACCGAGAGAAGCAUUCCUAAACAUCCAUGGACCUUCUUCAAAGUCUCCAUUAACUACGGCAUUACCUUUUGAUUUAUCUGGAACGAAAAGCUUCUUGAUAGCAAUAUCAUCAAUAAUGGGUCCACAAGUGGGGUCAUCUUCCAUGCCAGGAUUUGUAAAAACGACCCGCACAUCAUCUUCUUCAGCCUGAAAGGCCCACGCGUAAGAAUCCCAGCCCUGAACACUAUACAGAGUCUGAAGAUCAAUGGUCUGUGAGGCAGGAGGAACUGAAACGUUGAGUGACUCUAGCUGAGCGCAAGUGCGAGCCGCGCUGAAAGUGAUCGAGUAAAUGGAACCUUUCUCUACUUUGAGCUCUUGGCUUAUCUCGGCGUCGUUUCCAAGCCGGACUGCGUGUCUACCUUGUGGUACAAUGAGGAUCAUUCCACCCUGUUUUUGCCCGGAUUCUACUAACUCUACGGUGCCGUUUGAUUUCCAGCUGGGGAUUUCAGAUGGACCGUCGGAGAAUCCAUCGCCGGAAGAGAAACCACCUGACGGCGGGGUCUCAAAAUUACCGUUAACUAACGGACCAUCUUGUACUUGUCCAGCGGCAGAGCAAGCAAGAAGCAGAAGAAAUGCAGUGACCCAUUUGAAUUUUGUUGAGCUUGAAGCUAUUUCCAUGGCGACAAAGAAUAAAUUCCCUUUUUUUUUU
rnacentral:misc_RNA from 1 species